rnacentral:rRNA from 1 species
GACGAACGCUGGCGGCGUGCCUAAUACAUGCAAGUAGAACGCUGAAGGAGGAGCUUGCUCUUCUGGAUGAGUUGCGAACGGGUGAGUAACGCGUAGGUAACCUGCCUGGUAGCGGGGGAUAACUAUUGGAAACGAUAGCUAAUACCGCAUAACAGUAGAUGUUGCAUGACAUUUACUUAAAAGGUGCAAUUGCAUCACUACCAGAUGGACCUGCGUUGUAUUAGCUAGUUGGUGGGGUAACGGCUCACCAAGGCGACGAUACAUAGCCGAACUGAGAGGGGGGUCGGCCACACUGGGACGGAGACACGGCCCAGACUCCUACGGGAGGCAGCAGUAGGGAAUCUUCGGCAAUGGACGGAAGUCUGACCGAGCAACGCCGCGUGAGUGAAGAAGGUUGUCGGAUCGUAAAGCUCGGUUGUAAGAGAAGAACGAGUGUGAGAGUGGAAAGUUCACACUGUGACGGUAUCUUACCAGAAAGGGACGGCUAACUACGUG